rnacentral:rRNA from 4 species
CGGACCUCAGAUCAGGCAAGACCACCCGCUGAGUUUAAGCAUAUCACUAAGCGGAGGAAAAGAAACUAACAAGGAUUUCCGUAGUAACGGCGAGCGAAC